UCCAAAAACACCUGAAUUUUUGGUGGGGUAGUUUGGGGUAUACUCCAAUAGGUUUCCUGUUACUGGGGUCAGACUCCAUGAGAGCAGUCAGGGCACCUGCUUUACAAAGGGCCACAUGCCAUGUGUGAGUUGGGAGAAGCUGAGCCCAGGAACAGAAAACAGGCUGUUUUCCCUAACUCUGAAGCAUUUUGCUGCAGGAUUUUUUUUUUAAAUCUACACUUACCUGAUUAAUCAGUGAGCUGACUGGCUAACAGUGAUUUCAGAAGAGGAAGGGUCUGCAUGGAUUCCAAUUGAAGAUUCCUACAAGCAAGUGGAGGGAAGAUGUUGUUUGACUCAGCAGACUAUAGGUUUGGUGAUGAAAGACUCUAACUGAGAUUCAGGAAGAUUAAACAUAGGACACUGUGUUUUCUAUUCACUGGGAAGCUAUGUUUUUCCAUAAGGCGAAUGCUAUUCUCAUGCCCUGAUUACUUUCAUAUCUCAGGAGUUUGGUCCUCCAGGUGAGCGUUCCUCCUAAGUGCUGAUGAGAUCCGGUCUCUGAUGCCCUGGAAAAAGACUUGGUUUUCAUUUUUAAAAGGAAAAAGUAUGUUUCUAGCCACUUUCCUAGUAUGGGCUGCACUUCUCUAGGAUGAAGUUAGCAAACUGAAUGGAACUUGGAGAGAGGAGUACAGGUUGCAGGAAGGAAGAGUUUGGAGGAGACACCAAGAAGUGAGACUUUGUGUACAUGGCUGGAAUGCUAACUGCAGUUGCAGCACCUCUAUAAAUUGUUCUCUUAAUAAGGAACUAGUUUAGUUUUAGAAACGGUGUCCUUUCAUGUUAUUACCUGGUAUGUGCUACAUGAAACAAAGAGAGCUAAAGAUAUGUACACACUCACACACUUUUUAUGUGAAGGAGUCAGCUAUGUUUGAGGUGAAAGCCAAAGAAUCACCAUUCUAGCUGCUGCUAAGACAGCAGCUGUGGCACAUGUGUAUCUCCCAUUGCUGUGGUAGCCAUUGGAAGGGGAACUCCUUUUCUGCAUCCACUAGCGCUACUUAGGAGCUCAUUGGGUAUGCACAACUUUGUUCCUGCAACCCCAGCUGCUGACUAUUCCAGCAGGGCAUAAGGAGCAGGAUGAAAGGAGACACGGCGCAG